AGUGAACGCUGGCGGUAGGCCUAACACAUGCAAGUCGAACGGCAGCACAGUAAGAGCUUGCUCUUACGGGUGGCGAGUGGCGGACGGGUGGGGAAUACAUCGGAAUCUACUUUUUCUUGGGGGAUAACGUAGGGAAACUUACGCUAAUACCGCAUACGACCUACGGGUGAAAGCAGGGGAUCUCCGGACCUUGCGCGAUUGAAUGAGCCGAUGUCGGAUUAGCUAGUUGGCGGGGUAAAGGCCCACCAAGGCGACGAUCCGUAGCUGGUCUGAGAGGAUGAUCAGCCACACUGGAACUGAGACACGGUCCAGACUCCUACGGGAGGCAGCAGUGGGGAAUAUUGGACAAUGGGCGAAAGCCUGAUCCAGCCAUACCGCGUGGGUGAAGAAGGCCUUCGGGUUGUAAAGCCCUUUUGUUGGGAAAGAAAAGCAGCACGUUAAUACCCCGCUGUUCUGACGGUACCCAAAGAAUAAGCACCGGCUAACUUCGUG
rnacentral:rRNA from 1 species